rnacentral:rRNA from 1 species
GACGAACGCUGGCGGCGUGCCUAAUACAUGCAAGUAGAACGCACAGUUUAUACCGUAGCUUGCUACACCAUAGACUGUGAGUUGCGAACGGGUGAGUAACGCGUAGGUAACCUGCCUGGUAGCGGGGGAUAACUAUUGGAAACGAUAGCUAAUACCGCAUAAUAUUAAUUAUUGCAUGAUAAUUAAUUGAAAGGUGCAAUUGCACCACUACCAGAUGGACCUGCGUUGUAUUAGCUAGUAGGUGAGGUAACGGCUCACCUAGGCGACGAUACAUAGCCGAACUGAGAGGGUGAUCGGCCACACUGGGACUGAGACACGGCCCAGACGCCUACGGGAGGCAGCAGUAGGGAAUCUUCGGCAAUGGACGAAAGUCUGACCGAGCAACGCCGCGUGAGUGAAGAAGGUUUUCGGAUCGUAAAGCUCUGUUGUAAGAGAAGAACGGGUGUGAGAGUGGAAAGUUCACACUGUGACGGUAUCUUACCAGAAAGGGACGGCUAACUACGUG